rnacentral:rRNA from 1 species
GACGAACGCUGGCGGCGUGCCUAAUACAUGCAAGUAGAACGCACAGGAUGCACCGUAGUUUACUACACCGUAUUCUGUGAGUUGCGAACGGGUGAGUAACGCGUAGGUAACCUGCCUGGUAGCGGGGGAUAACUAUUGGAAACGAUAGCUAAUACCGCAUAAGAACAUUUACUGCAUGGUAGAUGUUUAAAAGGUGCAAAUGCAUCACUACCAGAUGGACCUGCGUUGUAUUAGCUAGUAGGUGAGGUAACGGCUCACCUAGGCGACGAUACAUAGCCGACCUGAGAGGGUGAUCGGCCACACUGGGACUGAGACACGGCCCAGACUCCUACGGGAGGCAGCAGUAGGGAAUCUUCGGCAAUGGGGGGAACCCUGACCGAGCAACGCCGCGUGAGUGAAGAAGGUUUUCGGAUCGUAAAGCUCUGUUGUUAAGGAAGAACGAGUGUGAGAAUGGAAAGUUCAUACUGUGACG